UCCUAACAGGAAAUAAGAGCAUAUGGUGGAUGCCUUGGCUCGAGAGAGGCGAUGAAGGACGUAGCGUGGCUGCGAUAAGCUUCGGGGAGGUGCCUAGCAACCUUUGAUCCGGAGAUGUCCGAAUGGGGAAACCCUGCGGCGUAAAACGCCGUAACCGAAGCAUCACAUGGAAUGUGAUGAAAAAUGCAAAAUGUAAAUAUCAAAAUUAAAAAUGACAGUUAAAAAUGUAAAAAUGAAAGAAAUUGGAAAAUGUUUUUGUUUUCAAUUUUAAAAAUUUGCAUUGUCAUUUUACACUUUGAUUUUUUAAUUUUAAAUUUAAAGCAUCGCGUUUCGCGCGAUGCUUCGGAGCGUACCCUGGGAAGUAAAACAUUUCAGUACCAGGAGGAGUAGAAACUAAUCAGCAUUCCGUAAGUAGCGGCGAGCGAAAGCGGAGAAGCCCAAACCCGGCCGCAUCUCAUUGCAUUCGAUGCGGAAUUCUUAAUUUUUAAAUUUUGUAAUUUUUUAAAUAAUUUUCUAAUUUCUGAAUGUUUACACAUUUGGUCAUUGGGAUUUGUUUAGAAAUUAAAAAUUAGAAAUUAGAAAUUCCACUCGAGCGUAGCGAGAUGUGGCAGGGGGUUGUAAGGUAACGGCGUCGGUUUUAUAUCGAGAAGAGUUACAAAAUUGUUUGUUAAUUGAAUCUGCUGGAAAGCGGAGCCCAAGAAGGUGAUAGCCCUGUAAGUGAAAAUAAACAAUCUCUUUUGCCGUUAUUCUUGAGUACUUCGAGACACGAAUAGCUCGGAGGAAUCUGCCGGAACUAACCGGUAAGGCUAAAUACUCAUCGAGACCGAUAGUGAACUAGUACCGCGAGGGAAAGGUGAAAAGCAGUCCGUUGAGGACGAUGAAAUAGACCUGAAACCAUAUUGCUUACAAAGAGUUGUAGCGGGCGCAUCACAUGGGAUGUGAUGCGGAUAUGAAUUAUGAAUAAGGAAUUAUGAAUUAUGCCGGGAAAAUUGCGUAGCAAUUUUCCCCAACCAUUAUUCAUAAUUCAUACUUCUUAAUUCAUGCUUGAGCAUCGCGUUUCGCGUGAUGCGUCCGUGGCAGCGUGCCUAUUGAAGAAUGAGCCAACGAGUUGAUGCAUUCGGCGAGGCGAACUCCCGUUAAAGGAGGAAGCCGUAGGGAAACCGAGUGUUAAUAGCGCGAAUAGUCUAAUGCAUCAGACCCGAAGCCAAGUGAGCUUGCCUUGAGCAGGAUGAACCCUCGAGAAAUCGAGGGGAAGGUCCGAACGCUAGAGCUGUGCAAUACUCUGCGAUGACUUGAGGUAAGAAGUGAUAAGCUAAUCGAACUUGGUAAUAGCUGGUUCUCUCCGAAAUAGCUUUUGGGCUAGCGUCGAGUGAUCCUUUAAGGGGUAGAGCACUGGAUGGUCUGGACAGGUCGAAAGACCGCUAGACCAAUCAAACUCCGAAUACUUAGAGUUAUAACUCGGCAGUUACACCGUGGGGGCGAAGCUUCACUGGUGAAAAGGGAAACAGCCCGGAUCUCCAAAUAAGGUCCCUAAAUUUAUGCUAAGUGCAUCACAAGGUGGUGAAAUUUCUCAAACAAUGAGGAUGUCGGCUUAGAAGCAGCCAUCAUUCAAAGAAAGCGUAACAGCUCACUCAUCGAGAGAUUUUGCGCCGAAGAUAAUCGGGGCUAAGCAUAGUACCGAAUUUGAGGGCACAGGAAGCAUCACAUUGCAUGUGAUGCGAAUUAUGCAGUAUGAAUUAUGAAUUAAGGUUUUCGGAAAAUCGCUUUGCGAUUUUCCUCCAUAAUACAUAAUUCAUUAUUCAUAAUUCGGCAUCGUGCGUAGCGCGAUGCUUCUCGUGCGGUAGGAGAGUUUUCGCAUCUGCUGUGAAGGUGAAGGGGUGACCCACACUGGAGCGUUGCGAAGUAAGAAUGUUGGCACAAGUAACCACAUUAGGGGUGAGAAACCCCUACGCCGAAAUACCAAGGUUUCCUUGGCAAUGAUUGUCAGCCAAGGGUUAGUCGGUCCUAAGGGAAUGGCGAAAGCCGCACCCGAUGGAUAUACGGUUAAUAUUCCGUAACUUUCGUGCGAAACGAUGAGAUGACGAAGUGUAGUAUGCUCUGCGCAUUAUUGGAUUUGACGUUUGACGCGUCAGGACGGCUUUUAGGUAAGUCCGGGAGCCUGCCUUUAAUGGCGAUUCCAAACGCGGCAAGAAUCCCAAGGGCAACCGAGGGAAAUAGGGCAAAGCACGCUUCCGAGAAAAGUCUCUAAGUUUAUUCGCAUGAAAUCCGUACCGCAAACCGACACAGGUGGUAACGUCGAGAAGACGAAGGCGAACGAGUGAAGGUUCUCCAAGGAACUCGGCAAAAAAUCAGCCGUAACUUCGGAAUAAGGCUUUCCAGCACCACUUUUUGGUUUUAAAAUAUAGUUGUGUAUUACGUCUAUUUACAAAAACACACUGUAACCAAAGAGAUUUAUAUUGGUAAAACAAAUAAUCUCAAGCGACGUUUGAGCGAACAUAAUAACGGUGAACAAAAAUCUACACAUCGGAAAGAUGGCGAAUGGAAAUUUGUUUAUCUGGAGGUAUAUCGCUCAAAAAAAGAUGCAGAUGAUCGUGAGAUGAAGCUUAAGCAUCACGGUCGUGCGAAACAAGAGCUAUAUAAAAGAAUCAGCUCGUCGCUUGAAGAUUAAAACCAAAAAGUGGUGCUGGAUGCAACGAAAGACUGCUUGGCAACUGUUUAUCAAAAACACAGCUCCCUGCGAACUCGUAAGAGGAUGUAUAGGGGGUGACACUUGACCAAUGCCAGAAGGUCAAACGACGGCGUUGCGUGCAUCACAUGGAAUGUGAUGCGGGAUGAAUUAUGAAUAAAGAAUUAUGAAUUAUGGAGGAAAAUCGCAAAGCGAUUUUCCGAAAACCCUAAUUACUAAUUCAUACUACAUAAUUUAAUUCUCACAUCGCGCUUCGCGUGAUGCACGUGGUGACUGUCGUAAGCCCUGGUGAAUGUCGGCCUUAACUAUAAGGGUCCUAAGGUAGCGCAAUUCCUAAAAGACUGGGACCAUCCAAAAGGGAUGGAAAACUUGGCUGUAUGCGGGAAACUCCGGUAGUAUCUCGAGACUACUUUGUCGGGUAUAAUAUGCCGAUGAGUAAAAAUGUUUCGAGUGGCUCCGAUUUAUGUCGGAGGCCGGACAAUCCGCAGGAAACGUAUGAAGUUAGUAAUUUCUAUUAUUCAGGAUUCUUUGCAGCAGAAAUGUCCUGUUCGAUCAUUAAAGCAACAAAUCAUCAUCCAAAAGGCUAUUACUAUGCCGUUGAUAUAACGGUGUCGAAUGCGGAUGUAAAGUUGCUGAAGAAGGUGAAUCGGGCAGUCAUGAAAGGCUCCGGGAUUAUAAGCCCCGUAAAAGGAGCUUUCAAUCUUUCGGCGCGCGGAAAAGAAAAGGUUCGUAUUGUCCUGGAUUUUCUUCAGAAGUAUCCGAUUAUUGUUGGCGAUCUUGCUAAAAAUCGGAUAGCGAUCUUAAGGAAGGCGCUUGCGUAUCUUGAUAAUCAUCAAGGGCACGUAACGCAUGAAGAAAAAACAAAAAUCAUGGAUACAAUGCGGCGUAAUCUCCGAAUGCUAAAAGAAAAAGGAGUAAUUGAAAAAUCAUUUGACGUCGAACCGGUGAAUACUGAUGCUGUUGGCUAUUUCCUUUCAGGAGUAGCGGAUGGUGAGGGUUCAUUUGGGUCUAAAAUGUCCGGUGAUCGUAAGGAACCGUAUUUUUUUGUCGCGAUGAAAGAUCAGAAAAUUAUUGAUCUGUUCCGAAAAUUUAUAAAUUACGGAAAUGUUCGGGGGCGAAAAGAUAAAGUGUUCCAUUGCGAAAUAAAUAAACGGGAUAAGCUAAAAGAAAUUUGUACCUUAUUUCUUUUGCGAUAUCCUUUGCAUAACGCGCGACAAAAGGCGCGGUUGCGAGAACUUCAGCGGAUCCUCAACGACUAUACGCCAAGCCCCGCAAUGGCGGGGAUGAUAUAGUCUGAACUGCAUGGCGACAUGCAGAGUUCGGCUCGCGUCGAACCGCUUCGAUUAAUUUUAAUCGGAGUCAAAAUCUUGCACCCGCAAGGUUUCAGUAACAGAGUGUGUCGGGUAAGUUCCGACGCGUUGAAUAGUGUCAUGUCUGAGCAACUGUCUCGGAGAACAGCUCGGUGAAAAUACAGUACCGGUGAAGAUGCCGGUUACCUGCAGCUAGACGAAAAGACCCUGGAAGCUUUACUACAACUUGGUAUUGAGUAUAUGUUUUUUAUGCGUAGCGUAGACGUUAGGCUUUGAAGUGUCCCUUUCGGGGGGCAUGGAGCCGCCAAUGAAACAGCGUUCUUAAAAAAUAUAUAUUCUAACCUGUGCGGCAAAAACGUACGGGAACAGUAUCUGGCGGGUAGUUUUGGUGGGGCGCUAUCCUUGAGAACGUGAAUUUUUUCGUGUUCUCAAACUAUGGCGCCUCCGGCAAGGUUAAUCUCUUGCGAAAAAAAUAAAGUUAGAGGGCGUCAUAAAUUCAAAAUGCAAAAAUCAAAAUGAAAAAUGACCCCAGUAGCAGAGCAAAUCUCGCUACGGGGCAGGCAAUUGCAAAAUGAAAAAAUGACGGGUAAAUCAGCGAUAUGCUGGGAAAUCUGGUGUAUCCGCAGCUACUUGGUGUACAAUAGGAAUGUUAUAAAUAUCUAAAUUUUUAAUAACAUGUCCGAAGAAAUGCCAAGUGAAAAUGCUAGCGGUGCAGAAAACCAGCAGGAAUCUACUAACGAGCUUAUUGAACGGUUUAGAAACCAACCAAUUGAACAAUAUAAAAUCGAGUUAAUCAGAAAAGCCGAUGUAAUUGAAAAUAGGAUUAGACAUGUUAAAGACCUAAUUCAAGAGUACGACGGAACUCAUGGCGAUAUGAGUAGUAUUUUUACGGGUCGAUUGGGUGCAAUAGGAAGAAAACUUGAUGAAAUGGAGGAAGCCUUGGACUUUAAUUUGAAGUCAGUAGCAUUCAUGAAAAGUCAGGAAAAGUAGUGGAUAUUCCUCAGAGACCACCAGCUGAUGCCUGUGAAUACAGGAAUGAUUAAUUUUUGAAUUUUUCAAUUUUUAAAUAAUGUUUCAAUUUCUUAAUGUUUAAGACAUUGGGUUAUUGGGGUUUAUUUAGAAAUUAAAAAUUAGAAAUUAAGAAUUCCGAUGUACUCAUCGGUUAAUGUAUGGUCCGAACUCUACCCUUCGAUAAGGAGGGCUUGCCCGACUCAGGGCAAGUAGCGAUAUAGAGAGACAGGCAGAAAUGUCCUGUCUGUAAACAAGAUUUGUGCUUUCGUUUGCGCAUGUAUUCGUAGUCAUUCGUUAUGAUUCGUAUACAUUCGUAGAUUGGCACUUAAUUUUGUUGUACACAACAAAAUUGUCUAAAAAGUAACGAAGGAGUCUAUUAAGGUUCCCUAGGCGCGAAUGGAAACCGUGCCGAUAGUGCAAUGGCAAAAGGGAGCUUGACUGCGAGGGGGACAUCCCAAGCAGGUGCGAAAGCAGAGCAUAGUGAACCGAUGGCCCGCGUUAGACGCGGCCAGAGAUUAUCGGACAAAAGCUACUCCAGGGAUAACAGGCUAGUUCCGCCUAAGAGUUCAUAUCGACGGCGGAGUUCGGCACCUCAAAUCGGGGCGCCAUACCAGAAAUGGUAUUAGCUACUUCGACAUAACACACAGGAGUGAACCCUGUUAUGUUGUUGAAAAAUAUUGGCUUAUAACGGUGGAAUCCUACGAAUAAAUUUUUUGCAAAAUUUAGGCGAGGACAAUCCCGUGGGAACCCAGCACCAUUUAUCGUAAGACGGUGAAUGAAGUGGUGUUGGCGGCAGUGCUAUUUAUGUGACUAUUUCCAGAAAGUAAAUAAAUGGUGCUGGACCCGUAGAGACUUUCUCGAUGACCCAAAUCGAGACUAGUCCGGAAUAAAUUUCCGGGCUAACACGCCAACUCCUCAUCCUCCAAAAGAGGGAAGGAAGAAGAUAUAGUCCAUACAAUUGGAAACAAUUGCUAAAAGAUACGAUGUCGGCUUAUCACAUCCCGGGGCUGUAGAAGGUCCCAAGGGUAUGGCUGUUCGCCAUUUAAAGUGCUACAUGAGCUGGGUUCAGACCGUCGCGAGACAGGUUGGUCUCCUAUCUGCUGCAGGCGUUGAUUCUUGAGGAGAUUCGUUUCUAGUAAGUAAUUGCUACUUUAUGGAGUAAUCCAUAAUGACAAUUUGGCUAAUAACGGUGGAAUCUUAAGGUUUUUGGUCUGUUGAUAACCAUAUCGAACACGGUCCGGUGAUUAUGGUACAAUUUACUUGAGGACCAGAAAUAUUUAAGACAAUACCGUGGGAAGCAUUAGGAAAUUAAAAAUGCAAAUAUCAAAAUCAAAAAAUACUGAUUAAAUUUUGCGAAAGCAAAAUUUACAAUCUGAAUAGAAUUUGUCCGCCUUCGGCGGACGCUUCAAUUUUACAUUUUGAUUUUUAAACUUUACAUUUUCUUUUGCCCCGUAACGACUGGAGUCCGCCUUAUCGGCGGACGAAGAUAGUGGUGGCGAACGAUUUCGCGCCAUUAUAAUAUGCCAACGACCAAUUAGAUUGGUCGAAGAUAUAGUCUACACACGUAGUGAUACGUGAAUAUGUGACGAGAGGACCGAAACGAACUGACCUCUGGUGUACCUGCUGUCGUGCCAACGGCACCGCAGGGCAGCUAUGUCGGGAACGGAUAACCGCUGAAAGCAUCUAAGUGGGAAACCGCCUCCAAGAUUAGGAAUCGUUUAGACCCGUGGAAGACUACCACGUUGAUAGGCUUUAGGUGUACGCACAGUAAUGUGUUGAGCCGUGAAGUACUAAUCCGUCGAUCUUGUUAGGAAA
rnacentral:rRNA from 1 species